GGAUGUGAAGCUGAUGCCGCCUCUUUGAUCGACAGGACCGAUUUGAAUCAUCUGGCUGGCCCAGCAGGGGUCCCUUUCCUCCCUCACUGCUCCAUGUGCAUUCUUCCAAAGCUGUCCUUGUCUAAGAGGAUAACCUUCCCCCAAAUAGAGACAGACCUGUUUUCUGUCAAGGGUAUACAAGAAGCUAUGCCUCCCUGCUAAAAUCUACUAACAAGCUCUCAAGGUCAGGAGGUAGUGCACAAGUGACAACUAUUCUUAUCUUUUCAGAUAACCUUUGUCU
ensembl:misc_RNA 7SK 7SK RNA